rnacentral:rRNA from 1 species
CCUACGGGUGGCAGCAGUGAGGAAUAUUGGUCAAUGGACGGAAGCCUGAACCAGCCAAGUCGCGUGCAGGAUGACGGCCCUAUGAGUUGUAAACUGCUUUUGUACAAGGGUAAACCUGAUUACGUGUAUGCAGUUGAAAGUACUGUACGAAUAAGGAUCGGCCAAAUCCGUGCCAGCAGCCGCGGUAAUACGGAGGAUCCAAGCGUUAUCCGGAUUUCUUGGGUUUAAAGGGUGAGUAGGCCGCUUGGUAAGUUUGAUGUGAAAUGUCCGGGCUUAACCCGGGAAUUGCCGUUGAUACUGGUGGUCUAGAGAGUAGAUGAGGUAUGCGGAAUGCGUGGUGUAGCGGUGAAAUGCUUAGAGAUCAUUCAGAACACCGAUUGCGAAGGCAGCUUACCGAUCUAGAUCUGACGUUGAGGCGCGAAAGCGCGGGGAGCAAACAGGAUUAGAUACCCUAGUAGUC